CCCUUAGAUGUUCUGGGCCGCACGCGCGCUACACUGAUGCAUUCAACGAGUCUAAAACCUGGUCUGAGAGGGCUGGGUAAUCUUUUGAAAGUGCAUCGUGAUUGGGAUAGAUGAUUGCAAUUCUUCAUCUUCAACGAGGAAUGCCUAGUAAACGCAAGUCAUCAGCUUGCAUUGAUUACGUCCCUGCCCUUUGUACACACCGCCCGUCGCUCCUACCGAUUGAACGAUCCGAUGAAAACUGUGGAUUGAGAGUCUGAGUGGGUUCGCCUACCUCAACUUUCGAGAAGCGGUUUAAAUCUUAUCGUUUAGAGGAAGGAGAAGUCGUAUCA
rnacentral:rRNA from 1 species